rnacentral:rRNA from 1 species
GACGAACGCUGGCGGCGUGCUUAACACAUGCAAGUCGAACGGAAAGACCCUGCUUUUGUGGGGUGCUCGAGUGGCGAACGGGUGAGUAACACGUGAGUAACCUGCCCUUGACUUUGGGAUAACUUCAGGAAACUGGGGCUAAUACCGGAUAGGAGCUCCUGCUGCAUGGUGGGGGUUGGAAAGUUUCGGCGGUUGGGGAUGGACUCGCGGCUUAUCAGCUUGUUGGUGGGGUAGUGGCUUACCAAGGCUUUGACCGGUAGCCGGCCUGAGAGGGUGACCGGCCACAUUGGGACUGAGAUACGGCCCAGACUCCUACGGGAGGCAGCAGUGGGGAAUAUUGCACAAUGGGCGGAAGCCUGAUGCAGCAACGCCGCGUGCGGGAUGACGGCCUUCGGGUUGUAAACCGCUUUCGCCUGUGACGAAGCGUGAGUGACGGUAAUGGGUAAAGAAGCACCGGCUAACUACGUG